AAACUGGUUUGGGAAAACCAAAUAUAUUAUAUAUUUUGCUUUGUUCAAAAUAAGGUUUUCUAAUAAAUUAUGUUUUUAUCAGAUAUGACAGAAUCUUUUUUAAAAUCUCUUCAAUAUGCUUUUAUUGCUUUUGAGAGGUUUUGUUACUUUGAGUAAAAUUAAGUGUUCAUAACAGACGGGUAGUCAUGAUUGAGUUCAUUGUGUA
rnacentral:rRNA from 1 species